rnacentral:rRNA from 1 species
UACGUAGGGUGCAAGCGUUGUCCGGAAUUAUUGGGCGUAAAGAGCUCGUAGGCGGUCUGUCGCGUCGGCUGUGAAAUCCCGAGGCUCAACCUCGGGUCUGCAGUCGGUACGGGCAAACUAGAGUAUUGCAGGGGAGACUGGAAUUCCUGGUGUAGCGGUGAAAUGCGCAGAUAUCAGGAGGAACACCGGUGGCGAAGGCGGGUCUCUGGGCAAUAACUGACGCUGAGGAGCGAAAGCGUGGGGAGCGAACAGG